rnacentral:lncRNA from 10 species
UGAUUUUUGAUGUCUACAUCUCUUGCUUACAUUUUACUUUGGAGGUUGCAAGAUCAACAUAACCUGAGUUUGGAAAAUAUUUAACAAAAUUCAAAAGAGGAAAAAAAAUCACUUCUAUUAAAAUGUACCUGAAUAAGAGGUAUAGAAAGCACAGAUGUGGUAAUGUUGAAGGAAAGAAGGCACACAUGGGAGCUUAUGCUGUAUAAUUCCAUUUAUACAAUGUAUCAACACAGGUGCAAAAAGUACAAUUAGCUGCUACAUCUCUGAGAAGAAAGAAUUUUGCUGAUGAUCUAACAGAACUUGUGAGUCAUCCAUCAGGAGAUGUUUUAAUGGUGCCAAGAACUCAGUAAAGUCUGUGAUGGAUUUGGCAAGGUCAUUUGUCAUUUUCACAUCAGCAUGGUUUUGGCACCUGCUUCUCAGUAAAGAAUUGCACUGUUGGAAACUCACUUUUGACAAAGAUGGUCUGCUUCUGACCAAAUGGUUUAUGCUACAGCAGAGAAGUAUCCGUCAUUUCUUCUUGUAGAUUUGAGUUAGCAUCUGAUAUCACUUCUUCCCAGCCUGAUGAUUUCUGUUAGAACUUUCUAUAAGGCUCUUCUGGAGAAGGAUGCUGAACCUUCAGAUAUCAGGCCAGCAUUCCCAAAAGAAAGAAGGAAGAAUGGUGAAAGGCAAAGGAUCAAAGAAAUAGAAUUCUUUCACAUCCCUGAAGAGAUUAUGAAAUCUGAUAGCCCUCCCAAGAGAUAUCAAUCAUGAUGCUACUUUGUACUUCCCCUUCUUAUUCACGUUGCAGUGAAAUACGCUUCCCUGAUCCAGUGACUCUGGGCUUGUUGAGGCCGUGGAGUGUGACAAGACAUAAUUCAUAGAGGCUUCAAACGUAGCUUGCGUGAGUAGGAUUCCUCUCAUAUGCUGCCAAGAUCCACUUCAAGAAGAACAUAUCACAGGUGUCAUUGGACCAAUGAGAACAGAAAAGCACUUGGAGUGGAUCCAAACAAUGUUGGUGAGGAAGUUCAGGAGAUUUAAAAAAAUGAAG